GCACGGCGUCGCUGGCCAUGUCCUCGCGCCGCCCGCCAGGGGUCCCCGCGCGGAGGGAGGGGCAACAGGAGGAGCGCGCGUGCGCCCCGCGCGGGGCGGGGAAGGGGCGGGCGCGGCGCGAGCCCCCGCCAGCGCGCGGCCCGCUCCGGCCUGCUCCGCUCGGGCCCUGCCUGGCCAGGCCGCCGCGUCCGCGCGCCGCGCCCUCCGGCCCCAGCGGCCGCCGGGCCGGGUCACGUGACGGCCGAGGUCGGCGCCCGGGGAGGGGGCGGGGCCGAGGGGGCGCGGCUCCCGGCGGCCCCCGGGGCUGCGGGGUCUCGGCUGCAGGGCGGUCCCCGUUCCCGGCCGAAUUCACCCCGUCUGCUCCCCCCGCCCUUGCCUCUUUCUGCAUCCUCACCCUGCCCAGGUGUCCCCCAUCUGAGCGCGCGGGAACCCGAAGAAAAGACUGAGCCACGUUAAGGCGGGGGUUGGCAGAGGCCUUUGAGCCUCCCGGGACCCCUCUAAACACAAAAACAAUCCAUCUCCCCCCUCGUUCGCAAGCUCGGGGCUCCUGGGAAGGACCAUCCUUUGCCUGGAGACAAUCUCUGGACAGAUUUGGGUUCAAAUCCCAGCAUCUCAUGCCUUGGGGGAGCCCCACGUCCAAAGAGCGCCUCAUCUGUGAAGUGGGAUUUACCCUACCCACCCCUCGGUGUUGAUGAAAUUGAGACCGUGCGUGCCAAGUGUUGAGAACACAGUAAGCGCUUAAUAAACGUUAGCGGCUGUCAUGCUUAAUGUUAUUGCCGUUGUUACAACUGACUCGCUGUGGGCCCGAAGGAUUCUGUGGCUGCUGAGCCUCAGUCUUCCCCGCUGUAAAAUGUAGACCGUACUCUUCUUCAGAGCUGUUGCAUGCAGGUGGCGUUCCAUAAAUGCAGCAGGCCCGUGCCCAAGCGGAGGAGAGUGGAGGUCUCUUCGGAGCUUCUCCAGGGUCUCUGGAGUCUCUAGAGCGUGCAGCUUGGCUCGAGGCCGACCCCGCACUCCCUUGGAAACCCGGAUGUCAGCUCCCCAAGGAUCAUUGUCUGUCUUGUCCUCUGCUGAGUCCCUGGCUCCUACAACAGUGUCUAGCGUGUGGAAAGGGCUCAGUUGUUGUUUCUGUAGCGGGGGAGGGGAGUGAACGUGGGAAGGUGAACACACGUGACCUCCAUUUUAACUAUGAGGUAUGUCUUUUUAUUUAAAAAAAUUUUUU